rnacentral:rRNA from 1 species
AUACGGAGGGUCCAAGCGUUAUCCGGAUUCAUUGGGUUUAAAGGGUGCGCAGGCGGUUUAUUAAGUCAGUGGUGAAAUCUCGAGGCUCAACCUCGAAACUGCCAUUGAUACUGAUAAACUUGAGUUCAGUUGGAGUAGGCGGAAUGUGUAGUGUAGCGGUGAAAUGCUUAGAUAUUACACAGAACACCGAUAGCGAAGGCAGCUUACUAAACUGAUACUGACGCUGAGGCACGAAAGCGUGGGGAGCGAACAGGAUUAGAUACCCUAGUAGUCC